AUACUUUUGAUGAAAAGGAUUCACAACACCAUUACAGGAGGCAGAAGGGGCUGAAGACCUUCUUUCGGUGUUUGUAGACAGAUGCAGGAACAGACGCCUCCAUUCUCUGGAAAAAAUGAUCAGCAGGAACGCCCAAAUCCAUCCAUUUGUCUGUCAUGUGUCAAGCAAAUGGUGCUGACACUGGGAAAUGCACAGCACUUGACGCGUGCGUUUUGAGACUAGCAUGAUGUCCUCUGCCCACAAACGGAGGGACAGUUUGGCAAACUGGAGCAGAAACAGACCCCUGGACAUGGCCAGGAGUGACUCCUUG